rnacentral:rRNA from 1 species
UACGAGGGGGGCGAGCGUUGUUCGGAAUUACUGGGCGUAAAGGGUCUGUAGGUGGCCAACUAAGUCAGACGUGAAAUCCCUCAGCUUAACUGGGGAACUGCGUCUGAUACUGGAUGGCUUGAGUGUGGGAGAGGAAUGCGGAAUUCCAGGUGUAGCGGUGAAAUGCGUAGAUAUCUGGAGGAACACCGGUGGCGAAGGCGGCAUUCUGGACCAUAACUGACACUGAGAGACGAAAGCCAGGGGAGCAAACGGG